AAGUAUGUAUGUAGCUGCAUACCUAAGUACUCCCUCAGAGUAUCUGUGUGGCCAGCAAACACAAGGCACUGGCAUCUGCUGUGGGAACACGAGGCCCUGGCGUGGGCAAACUGGAAGGGGCCAUGUGAGGCUGGAGCUCAUGUUGCUGGUGCUGGUGAAUCUUUGUGGGAUACCUUGGCUCCAGGUUACCUUACCUGUUGAUAAAACAGGAAUAAAAGCAGACAGGUUUCUCAGUCAUCCAUUCUUUCUGGUGACAGAACUGAGGACUUGGAUCAGCACCUCGUGCACUGGCAUCAUGAGAUGCCUCAAGCUGCACCACCUCAUCUUCUGCUCUUCAUAUGGAACAACAGACACAAAGAGCUAAAAUAUUGGUGCAAUUCAUGAGCUUCCUUCUUCAAAAGAAAUUGUACACCCCACCACCUAGUAAUGGCAAUCUGCUGAACAAGCACCUAGUGUAGACCAAUAAACGAAAGGAAAC
rnacentral:lncRNA from 1 species